AAAAUCCAUGAGUAACGCAGCUAACGCGUGAAGUAGACCGCCUGGGGAGUACGGUCGCAAGAUUAAAACUCAAAUGAAUUGACGGGGGCCCGCACAAGCGGUGGAUUAUGUGGAUUAAUUCGAUGCAACGCGAAAAACCUUACCUGGCCUUGACAUGUAACGAACUUUCCAGAGAUGGAUUGGUGCUCGAAAGAGAACGUUAACACAGGUGCUGCAUGGCUGUCGUCAGCUCGUGUCGUGAGAUGUUGGGUUAAGUCCCGCAACGAGCGCAACCCUUGCCAUUAAUUGCCAUCAUUUAGUUGGGCACUUUAAUGGGACUGCCGGUGACAAACCGGAGGAAGGUGGGGAUGACGUCAAGUCCUCAUGGCCCUUAUGGCCAGGGCUUCACACGUAAUACAAUGGUCGGUACAGAGGGUUGCCAACCCGCAAGGGGGAGCCAAUCCCAGAAAGCCGAUCGUAGUCCGGAUUGAGGUCUGCAACUCGACCUCAUGAAGUCGGAAUCGCUAGUAAUCGCGGAUCAGCAUGUCGCGGUGAAUACGUUCCCGGGCCUUGUACACACCGCCCGUCACACCAUGGGAGUGGGUUUUACCAGAAGUGGGUAGUCUAACCGUAAGGAGGACGCUUACCACGGUAGUAUUCAUGACUGGGGUGAAGUCGUAAC
rnacentral:rRNA from 1 species